UACGUAGGGCGCAAGCGUUAUCCGGAAUCAUUGGGCGUAAAGCGUCCGUAGGUGGCUGUUCAAGUCUGCGGUCAAAGCACAAGGCUUAACCUUGUAAAGGCCGUGGAAACUGAAGAGGCUAGAGUGCGGUAGGGGUAGAGGGAAUUCCCAGUGUAGCGGUGAAAUGCGUAGAGAUCGGGAGGAAGGCCGGUGGCGAAGGCGGCGCUCUGGAACGUUUCGUGACGCUGAGGCUCGAAAGGCGUGGGGAGCAAAGCAGG
rnacentral:rRNA from 1 species